AGUGAACGCUGGCGGUAGGCCUAACACAUGCAAGUCGAACGGCAGCACAGGAGAGCUUGCUCUCUGGGUGGCGAGUGGCGGACGGGUGAGGAAUACAUCGGAAUCUACUCUGUCGUGGGGGAUAACGUAGGGAAACUUACGCUAAUACCGCAUACGACCUACGGGUGAAAGCAGGGGAUCUUCGGACCUUGCGCGAUUGAAUGAGCCGAUGUCGGAUUAGCUAGUUGGCGGGGUAAAGGCCCACCAAGGCGACGAUCCGUAGCUGGUCUGAGAGGAUGAUCAGCCACACUGGAACUGAGACACGGUCCAGACUCCUACGGGAGGCAGCAGUGGGGAAUAUUGGACAAUGGGCGCAAGCCUGAUCCAGCCAUACCGCGUGGGUGAAGAAGGCCUUCGGGUUGUAAAGCCCUUUUGUUGGGAAAGAAAUCCAGCUGGUUAAUACCCGGUUGGGAUGACGGUACCCAAAGAAUAAGCACCGGCUAACUUCGUGCCAGCAGCCGCGGUAAUACGAAGGGUGCAAGCGUUACUCGGAAUUACUGGGCGUAAAGCGUGCGUAGGUGGUUAUUUAAGUCCGUUGCGAAAGCCCUGGGCUCAACCUGGGAACUGCAGUGGAUACUGGAUGACUAGAAUGUGGUAGAGGGUAGCGGAAUUCCUGGUGUAGCAGUGAAAUGCGUAGAGAUCAGGAGGAACAUCCAUGGCGAAGGCAGCUACCUGGACCAACAUUGACACUGAGGCACGAAAGCGUGGGGAGCAAACAGG
rnacentral:rRNA from 1 species